UGGAUAGUGGGGUAUUGCUGGGACAGACAUGAUCACGUUGUUUGACUUUAAAACUUUGAGUUAGAAAAGCCAUUGAGUGUUGAGGGCUCAGUGGUAUGUUCUAUAGGAGCCUGGAAAUGAAGAAUGUUGAGAGCAGAGCAGAUGAUGGAGGCCUGCCUUGUGAAGUUUCAGAGGGAGGUUUACAGACUCUAUUGGGGCCAUUUGUUAUUUUGAAUUAAGAUUUUGUGGUUUUGAUUAGCUAAGACUGAAGAAUCAGCUGCGAUUAACAAGAUACCAGAACUACUAAAGAGAAAACUUUGCUUUGCCGGGAUACUUGAUGCUGGUCAGCUGGAGCUAAGAAAUUAGCAGUAAUUAAGAAGAGACCAGCAUCACUGAGGUGAAAUUUUCUGGGAAGUGUUUCCUGAGAGUUAACACAUAGAAGCUGUGUUCCAGAAACGUGCAAGGUUUUACUGACAGCUGAACUUGGUAGUGUAAGCGUCUCCUAGGUGGUUCUGGCUUCGAAAGCAUGAAGGAGUCAUGGAGAGCAUCUGAGGUUUGGCACUAUGUGACAGGGUUGGAGUCCCCAAAGAGAGCCUAAGAGGUGCUAUUGGUGAAAGCGUGCCCAAGUUGAAGCAGAAAACCCUGGCAUUUUGGAGAUGCUAGUGGCAUGGGAUGAUUGCCAAGAACAGCAGCAGCAGUGGAGUGGAGCUAGCUGAAGCCUUGAAAACAAGCUGUGUGUGCUACAGGGUGAGAAGCUGGAGAAGUGACCUAACUCCCAGAAGACCAUGAUGAAUCCCAGACAGUUGAACAAGUUAGAGAGCUCUUUGGCCAGCCUGAGGAACCCUAACUUAGGGUGUUGGAGUCAAACCCGUUUGGUGUUAAGCUUCUCUUAGCCAGCAUCUCUGGAACUGAGCAUGUCAUCAGUCCUAUGACCUGAAGCAACAAAAGCUAGAAUUUUACUUCACGGCCAGCUGCUUCUCUGGGAAAAGAGUUACUAACUUUGUAUAAUAAUGUUUUAUGGCUUACCUCGCCUCCUCCCACAAAUUACUUCCAUAAUGAGGGGAUGGAGGACCUGUGGAUUCUGCAGAACCUUCACUUGACAAGACGCCUGCGAAUGGUGAUGCACAGAUGGACUGGGAUGAGCUUAAUUCAUUAUUGCACACACACUACAGCUUUGUUUAUUAUUAAUGACAUGGCAUACAUUUUCCUUAGCUCUGGAACUGAAUAAAGCAAUAACCCCAACAUAAGGGAGACAGGAAUUGGAAGAUAAUAAAUAUUUAUCACCAAAUCUCUCACUUUCCUAGCAACCACAAAUGGAGGAGGAAAUGAGCAUCUCAUUUUUUUUAAGAGCCAGUGCCAGGAAAACAAAAAGCUUAAAAAAUCUCAUUAAUCAAGCAGAUUGAUUGCUGUGGGUUCCAGAAAUCUCAAUAUGGUUUUUUAAUCGAGGGAAAUGCAAUGACUGAACACAGUUGUGGUACUCUUUGAGACCUGCAAUCUUGGCCAGAUGCCACUUGCAAAAAUGACUAUCAUCUAACAGGAGUAUUAAAUAAUACAAUAUACUUGCUACGCUCUUCGAAGAGCAUUACUUUGUUUUCCUACACUCAGUACAUAGGGCAACAACUGAGGCAUGGAACUAGUUUUCACAGAGCAGGUUGAGUUCAUUUCAGGAAAUUUACUAAUAUAUUAUCAUUGUGUUUUAAAAUUAUGAGUAAACAGAGAUGUGUUUUAUUCAUGGGAUUUUGACUUUUACUGGUAUAAAAUGAUACCUUUGAAGUAGUCAGAGUGUUUCAAACUUUAAGAAGAACAGCUUAGCUUCUUCAUGGGGAGGCAAUAGUAUCCUUGGUUUAUGCUUUUUCUUGCCAUUACUCAUGCUAACGAGAAAGUUUCAGUAUGAACUUCUAGUCUACUCACUGUAACUAAUCAGCAGUGUGACUUUUCACAAGUUGCUCUGAUCCUCUGGAUCUCAGAGUCCUCAUUUUAUAAGUUGUAGGAAUUCAGAACUGGGCUCUUAAAGCCUUAUCUUCCAUUAGAAUUGGUCUGCACAGCUUUAUUGCUAGCCUUAGUUUUGCCUAUUUGGAUUAUUAUCCUCAGACUACCUUAUCAACUUGCCAUCAAAACUGUCACAAACAUGUUUUUACUGAUA